rnacentral:rRNA from 1 species
AUUGAACGCUGGCGGCGUGGAUUAGGCAUGCAAGUCGUACGGGUCGGUGUAGCAAUACAACGGCAAGUGGCGAAAGGGAGAGUAACACGUAGAUACCUACCCUCUGGUCGGGGAUACCGCGGCAUAACCGCAAGUAAUACCCGAUAAAAUCUCCGGAUCAAAGGUGUGAUUCCGCCGGAGGAGGGGUCUGCGUUUUAUCAGCUUGUUGGUGAGGUAAUGGCUCACCAAGGCUAAGACGGAUACGGGGUGUGAGAGCAUGCCCCCGCUCACUGGGACUGAGACACUGCCCAGACACCUACGGGUGGCUGCAGUCGAGAAUCUUCGGCAAUGGGCGCAAGCCUGACCGAGCGACGCCGCGUGCGGGAUGAAGGCCUUCGGGUUGUAAACCGCUGUCGAGGGGAAUGAAGUGUAGGUGGGUACUCCCAUCUAUUUGACAGAUCCCUGGAGGAAGCAUGGGCUAAGUUCGUGCCAGCAGCCGCCGUAAGAC